UGGGGAAUAUUGGACAAUGGGCGCAAGCCUGAUCCAGCCAUACCGCGUGGGUGAAGAAGGCCUUCGGGUUGUAAAGCCCUUUUGUUGGGAAAGGAAUCCAGCCGGUUAAUACCUGGUUGGGAUGACGGUACCCAAAGAAUAAGCACCGGCUAACUUCGUGCCAGCAGCCGCGGUAAUACGAAGGGUGCAAGCGUUACUCGGAAUUACUGGGCGUAAAGCGUGCGUAGGUGGUUGUUUAAGUCUGUUGUGAAAGCCCUGGGCUCAACCUGGGAACUGCAGUGGAAACUGGAUAACUAGAGUGUGGUAGAGGGUAGCGGAAUUCCCGGUGUAGCAGUGAAAUGCGUAGAGAUCGGGAGGAACAUCCAUGGCGAAGGCAGCUACCUGGACCAACACUGACACUGAGGCACGAAAGCGUGGGGAGCAAACAGGAUUAGAUACCCUGGUAGUCCACGCCCUAAACGAUGCGAACUGGAUGUUGGGUGCAAUUUGGCACGCAGUAUCGAAGCUAACGCGUUAAGUUCGCCGCCUGGGGAGUACGGUCGCAAGACUGAAACUCAAAGGAAUUGACGGGGGCCCGCACAAGCGGUGGAGUAUGUGGUUUAAUUCAAUGC
rnacentral:rRNA from 1 species